AUUGAACGCUGGCGGCAUGCCUUACACAUGCAAGUCGAACGGCAGCACGGGUGCUUGCACCUGGUGGCGAGUGGCGAACGGGUGAGUAAUACAUCGGAACGUACCUUAUCGUGGGGGAUAACGCAGCGAAAGCUGUGCUAAUACCGCAUACGCCCUGAGGGGGAAAGCGGGGGAUCGCAAGACCUCGCGCGAUUAGAGCGGCCGACGCCUGAUUAGCUUGUUGGUGGGGUAAAAGCCCACCAAGGCGACGAUCAGUAGCUGGUCUGAGAGGACGAUCAGCCACACUGGGACUGAGACACGGCCCAGACUCCUACGGGAGGCAGCAGUGGGGAAUUUUGGACAAUGGGGGCAACCCUGAUCCAGCAAUGCCGCGUGAGUGAAGAAGGCCUUCGGGUUGUAAAGCUCUUUUGCCAGGGAAGAAACACCGGCUCUAACACAGUCCGGGAAUGACGGUACCUGAAGAAUAAGCACCGGCUAACUACGUGCCAGCAGCCGCAGUAA
rnacentral:rRNA from 1 species